GUAGCUAUGAGGACGCGUCAGGUCCAGCCCCACGGGAGGCGCCUCCCACAGCUCCCUUCAUGUCUGUCCCUCCCUUCUCGUCAGCUCACCUGGUCAGGGCUUCCCGGGCCUCAGGGUGUCGGAAAUUAGGCCAAGGGGAGUGCUUGUUUCAGUGAAGCGGGAAGGAGGGAAUUGGACGGAGGAACGUGACUGUACCACUCUCUAGGGCAUGGAGAUUCACGUGGCGCCAAGUGUCGGGACUGCUGAAAUGCCUUUCUGUGACCUGAAGAUGCUAUCAAAUACAUGGAGUAUUUCACAUUCACACAGAAAAACCUAAAGGAUGCAUUUGACAAAGCACUAGUGACUGCCUCGGAGACGGUGGAACCAAAGAAAAGCCAUAGCUUUAAGAAACUUGCAUCCUGCUACUGCUGACCUCCUCUGCUCUGCCCUGAACUCCCUGAAGAAAUGACCUGGUCUCUGGGCAGCUGUUAUAAUCCCUGAAGUAUCUGUGUUCAACUCCUCAGUCUUUGUUUCUCUGACCAGUGUCUGAAUGGAGUUUAGGCCAAACCAAUGAGUGAAGACUCUGAGCCAAGUUAAUGUUACUAUUGUAACAAUGUAUAAUCUAAAUGAUAUGUUACUUUUUUAUGCUAUGAAUGCUUAUAAAGUGUUAGGGGAAAAGUUUUUUCGAUGUCCAAAGUGUCCCCUGUGUAAAUCGUGUCUGCUGGUUGACAAAUCAAAAGUUUCUGAUUUGAUGUCUUUAUUGCAGUGUCAGCAGAUGCUUGCCAGCAGGUGUGACUAAUAAACAUUGACAAAAUUUAGAGCCUUCUUGGCCAAAAACAACUGGGGGCAAUGAAAAUGAAUUUACCACACUGAAGUCCUCCAGCAGUCAUAGAAAAAAUAAUGCCUUUGCCAAGUAAAGGACUAUGUUUCUUAUAAAGCUACCAUGCCCUCUCGGAUGUGUAACUCCUGUCAAGAGUUGGCCUGCUUAUCUAUGAUAAAAGAGGCCCUGGAAACUUACCUGUAUUAUCUUUUAUUCACUGGAAAGCUAACACACCCAAGUGGUUGUACCUGAUACCCCUGAAUGUAAUGCGGGAACAGAUAGAUGUGUUAUGAACAUACACUUCUCUUGAUUGUUAGGAAUGUUCCCAGUGAGGAGACGCCACAAAUUAAAUAGUGCUAUUGGGAUGACUACAACUAGGAGCCUCCCUGGUUCUUUCAGCGCAGUUAUGUGAAACCAGUAGAGCUGUACAGGCAAUUGGAGGAGAGGGGAUGAACAGGUUAAGGAAGUGGUAGUAAGAGGAUACAUAGAAAACCAUCUGGUAGGCUAUACAGCCUGCCCUCCUGUUGCGACUGGUUAGUUCUAAUGAGCCUUUUGAGCUUCAGGUAUUGGUGCUUGACAGUUACUAGACUCUAUCUGUGCACUAGGCAGAGGUGCCCACUGGGGUUUUGGACACAGCAUUUUCCGAACAUCACUGCCUGGUAUACUCUAUUUGAGGGGCUACUAUCAGCCUGUUAUUGAGUGCUGGUGGACACUGAGAAGCCAACUGAGUAAUAACACGAUAUGUUAUUCUCUUGACAUGCCCAUUCUGGAAUAGGUCAAAAACUAAAAAAUGCCAACAAAGUGGGUAUUGCCCAGCAAGCAUGCAUUAUUAACUGGAAACAGUAUUUCCAGAAAAGCAGCAAGAUUUGGUGUAUUCUUUUCUAUUCUGUAACAAAAUAUCACAAACUUAGUGACUUAAAACAAUCUUGUCUUACAGUUCUGAAUGCUAGAAGUCCAAAAUGGGGUUCAGUAGACUGGAAUAAAGGUGUUAGCAUAGUUGCCCUCCCUCUAGAGGGUCUAAGGAAGAAUCAGGUUCCUUGUGUUUUCCAUUUUCUGGCGGGUUUCCCUAGUCCUUGGCUCAUGACGCCUUCCUCAAUCAUUUCAGCCUCUCCUGCUUCCUCUUCUAGUCACAUCUCCCUCAGGGCUCCUUCUGAAAGGAUACCUGUGAUUAUAUUUAGGCCCAGAUGGAUAAUCUUCAUCUCAGGAUCCCUAACCAAAUCACAUCUGCAAAAUCCCUUUUAUCACAUAAAUUAACAUUCACAAAUCCCAGGGAUUAGGACCUGGAAAUCUCUGGGGGCUGUUAUUCAACCUAUCACACUGGGCAUUAAUGGAAUCUUGUAGGCAGGUAAUUACUGUGAAGAUGUGGCUAUCUUAGAUGUGGGGGCUGUGCUGUCACCUUAGGCUUCUUGGGGGCCUGGGUACACUACAUCACCUAAGGAUGCCUAAGCCUUAUGGACACACCAGCUAAGUUAAAGAUCAGUGGGGUUGUGUAGGAAAGAGUUAACAUAGCAGAUCUGAGCCUGCUUAUCCUUAGGAAGUCCCGCUUACAAGGUUGGCCUUUUGCUGGUGUCUGAGAUAUGAUUGGGGAGGGUUCCCACCAUCCACAGAGCUGAUGAGUGGCUCACUGUACCUAAAAUCUUUGUACAACCAAUGUGGAUCAUGCUGAAUACCUUCUUUCCUCCCGGGACUCUGGAAUUUGGGUAUGUGUUAGGCAGAAGGUGCCUAAUGACCAGUGGCCACCCCCCUUCCCUGCCCAGUAAAGUCCUGGGCUCUAAUAUUCUUGCUACACGUGCCUUUUCUGUCUGCUGACUUUGUUUUGUAUAAUUUCACAGUAAUCUUAGCUGUGAGUACAACUAUAUGCUGAACAUUGUUAUUCGUCCUAAUCAAAUCAUCAAACCUUGGAGGAGAGUUGUCUCAAGGACCCCUAACUCAGUUGAUGUCAGAAAUAGGAUUUGCUAGCCCAACUCUCGGGGAAGGCAAUGGCAUCCCACUCCAGUGAUCUUGCCUGGUAAAUCCCAUGGACGGAGGAGCCUGGUAGGCUGCAGUCCAUGGGGUCACUAGGAGUCGGACGUGACUGAGUGACUUCACUUUCACUUUUCACUUUCAUCCAUUGGAGAAGGAAAUGGCAACCCACUCCAAUGUUCUUGCCUGGAGAAUCCCAGGGACGGGGGAGCCUGGUGGGCUGCCGUCUCUGGGGUCGCACAGAGCUGGACACGACUGAAGCGACUUAGCAGCAACAGCAGCAGCAGCCCAACUCUGAUUCACUGAAGUAUGGCAAAAACUAUUUGAGAAAAGUAAAGGUGAAAGAGUGAGGGGUAAUACAGCUUUAGUAUUAGGCUGGCUCUUGAGUCAUGCAUGGGAUGAAACAGCAGUAUUUUUUGAGAGGUAGAAGUUACCUACGGAAUUUGAAAAUGAUAGAUUCAACUCUAGGAGAGUUGGCUUGCUAAAGCUCCUGGCUAUUUUGGGUUGUGCUGGCUAAAGUGAGGGCAGAAAGUGCAGCCUGUAUUAAAAAGUGUGAAAGUGCAGCAGUGGGGAAAGGUGAUGCCUUUUUGUAUUUUGUUCUUCCCUUCAUGUGGGAGGAGAAAGGGCCCCCAAAUCCCCAAAGGUGAGUUUGGAUGACCCAGAAAUAUUACAAAUUCAUAUGCCUCUUUUUUCCAAGUAGAAGGAACAAAUGUUAGCUCAGUUCCCAUGGCUAGAGCAAAGUGAACCAGAGAGGGAAAAGGGACAAAACCACUCCGGCUGUUUCUUCAGCCUAGUUACCAUCACUGUUACACUAGUCCUGUCCUUCCUCUCCUGUCCAAUUCUAGCUGAGAGUCCUCCUUGGUAGUGCAGAUGUUAACCCUGUAAAUGUUAAGUUUACUGGUAGAGGGUUGAGUAAAUUUCUGUUUAAAGGUGAGUGGGGGCAUUUAAAUCGCUUUAUAUUUUGUGGCUAUUACAUCUGGAUGUAGGAUAAAAAUAGAUGGAAAAAGUUAUAUGUUUACAUGCUUGGGGCUUCCCAGGUGCCGCUAGGGAUAAAGAACCCCCCUGCCUAUGGAGGAGACUUAAGAGAUGUGGGUUUGACCCUGGCUCGGGAAGAUCCCCUGGAGAAGGAAAUAGCAACUAACUCCAGAAAAUUCCAUGGUCAGAGGAGACUAACCCAGUCCAUAGGGUCACAGAGUCGGACAUGACUGAAGCAACUUAGCACACAUACAUUUUUUUUUUCAGCAUUUUUCCAACAGAUAGUCUUGUUUUAUUUAAGUAAGUUAGAAAGUGGGGACAUAUGAAUUUAAUACCUAAUUACUGGUGCCAAGUCACAUGCAUGUUUUUAUAUGCUUGUAAUUUCACAAAUGCUAGAUGGAUCAUCCCAGUCAGGGAAAGCUGCAAAGAAAAAGUGUUAGUGGGACACACAAAUAAAUAAUUGCCUUUUGCCACUGGUAGGUGGAUUGAAUUUUUUUUCCCUUUGAGUAUUGAAAAUAAAAUAAGUCUCUGUUACUAAUGGUAUUUAUUAUACAUUUUGCUUACUGUAACUUCUGGAAAAAAAGGAAACAACAUGAAAAGAGAGGCACUCUUCAGAUUGAAAUACACUUUUGGAGUUUUACAAAGUGGAUUUGAGUAGCUAAUGAGUGUUUGUAAAAUCAGAUGUCUGACCCAUUAAGGCUGAUGUACCACCAGCCUGAUGGGCAUAUUUGGAUGGGUCUUUUUGGACUCCAAGGCUGACAAGAUAGAAAGGGUGUCAGAAGUCUCACUUGUCAGUUGGACUUGGAACAGGCUGUCUGGCCUUGAGGUAUCUGGGCUUUGAAUAUGUGCUAAAGAAAAGCUGCUGGCUUUUUUGGAAUCCUGAUGCUUAACUGCCUACGCCUAACUCUAAGCUGAAACCUGGUCUGGGCUAUUUCACCCUCAAUAACUGUGACAGGAAGAAGGCUAUGGCACCCCACUCCAGUACUCUUGCCUGAAAAAUCCCAGGGAUGGAGGAGCCUGGUGGGCUGCGGUCCAUGGGGUCGCUAAGAGUUGGAUAUGACUGAGUGACUUCACUUUCACUUUUCACUUUCAUGCAUUGGGGAAGGAAAUGGCAACCCACUCCAGUGUUCUUGCCUGGAGAAUCCCGGGGAUGGGGGAGCCUGAUGGGCUUCCGUCUAUGGGGUCGGGUCGCACAGAGUCGGACAGGACUGAAGCGACUUAGCAGCAGCAGCAGCUGCAGCAGCAGCAACUGUGACAAACUAAAAGCUGACAAAGUUCUACUCAGAAAAGAAAACUCAGAUCUGGAAUAGUUACACAUUUAGGACACUUCUCUGUAGACUAAAUUGUGGAAACAUCAUGGAUGCUUGCUAGACCAUUUCUGUCCACAGAAAAGGGCUUAUUUCUGAUGGGGCCAUCUGAAAUUGAGCUGCUGAUCAGCUCUCUAUUUCUGAUACAGAGAUUCAAUGCAUUCUUAACAUGAUUCCUGCAAAAGCUACAAGCUGGGGAAGGGUACAUCAUAGGGAAUGUGACACCUCCACCCACUACUAAAGGUCAGACUGUGGACCCCAUUUCAGGCUGUCUCACUGCUGUUGACUUGUGUUCAGCUUUCUAAAUUAGUUGCAGUUUGCAAUGGCAGUCUGAUAGCCUGACUCUGCUUCCCUCACCUUUUUCCUGGUAAGGAGAAAGGCAGUUUGAUUAUUUAAAGCAGCUGUCCCCAGAAAGGGAUUGACAUUUCCUAGACUGCUCCCUGGAUAAAUGAUUAGGACAAAAGAAGUGUGAAAGUCACUCAGUUGUGUCCAGCUCUUUGCGAACUCAUGGGCUAAACAGUCCAUGGAAUUUUCCAGGCCAGAAUACUGGAGUGGGUAGCCUUUCCCUUCUCCAGGGGAUCUUCCCAACCCAGGGAUCAAACCCAGGUCUCCUGCAUUGCAGGUGGAUUCUUUACCCGCUGAGCCAUAAAGGAAGCCCAGGAAUACUGGAGUGGGUAACCUAUCCCUUCUCCAGCGGAUCUUCCUGACUCAGGAAUCCAACCAGGGUCUCAUGCAUCGCAGGCAGAUUCUUUACCAACUGAACCACCAGGGAAGCCCAUUAUAAUUAUUUUUUAAAAAUUCGGGGUUUCAAGUCUGACCAAUUUGGAAUAUGUUGUGCCUUUCUGGUUAAGUGAUACAAAAAUGUUUUCUGUGAAAAUGCUUCUAUAUUUCUUGCAUACAACUGUUCCAGACAAAUGGUCUAGCUGAGAGUAGGGGAGAAUUGAAAAAAUGUUGUUACUCUUGCUGAAUAGGGCACAAUUGAUUUUGUAAUGAUGGAGGGAAAAGUAAAAGCCCAGGCCCUGGGAACAGGGGAGAAGGGUAUUAAUGAUCUUUGCUUUUCAG
ensembl:lncRNA